GGUUCUGUCCGGCAGGAUUGUGUCUGCAGGAAUCUGGCCAGGACCUGACGGUAGCAACCAUAACUGUAGUUCUCAAUGCUUGUCGGGUUGCGGAGCUGA
rnacentral:SRP_RNA from 1 species